AUGAGUGCCGGAGAAACAGGGAGCAUCAUUGCACAAUGCAACAUUGGAGAGGCAGACUCAUUUAUGGAUUUGGCGGUGCCAUGCAGAAACGACGCUGCUGCGUGUGACAAACAACAGAGCAGCAGCUCCGCUGUAAGUGGACCUGUGGCUGGCGAUGAGACUGAUGUCGUCAGAAGUGAAUGCGAUCAGACAAACGAAGACACGGUAGACAGAAUCAUCAUGGUGCCGCUUACCAUUGUAGAGAAAGAAAUGGAUGACAUGUUUAAAGAAGGCACAUACCCAACGAUUCAGGAGGUCACCGAAGCGCUCGAACCAGAGGGUGGUAUGGUAUUCGGAUCAUUGGAUGAGUGCUCUUUGUUUUUCUGCAGAUAUGCUAGAAAGGUUGGCUUUGCUGCCAAGCGAUCAACGAGCAGAAGAUCGACAUAUGAUCAGCAGCUUGACAAGCAGGUGUUUCAGUGCACCAAGGAAGGGCAGAAUAAAACAACUGAGAGACAUGUUAAGGAGAGAAGGAGCAACUGCUUGAUCCGGACAAGCUGCCCAGUCCAAAUAACAACCAAGAGGGAUACAGAUAGGAGGAAAUGGUACCUGAAGAACGUUCGUCUAGAGCACAACCACCAGCUUCACCCAUCUGAUUGGAUGCUGAAGUUCAUGAGAUGCUAUAAGAAGAUGACACCUCAGGAGAAAUUCUUUAUACAAGUGCUGCAGAAGGCGAGGUUAGAACCAAGGAAGGUUAUGCAAAUUUUUACUGCCAUGGGGAAACCGAGGCGAGAAAUUAUGUUCGACACGAUUGAAAUAAGCAACAUUGCAUGCCGGGACAGGGCUGGAGAGCGCGGCACUGAUAUCGCAGACACCAUGAAACUGUUUGCUGAUAUGCAGAGGCGGAGGCCGGGAUUCCACCAUGUGGAAGAGACAGAGAACAAUGUAGUGCGCAGCCUGUUUUGGACAGAUUCCUUGUGUAAGAUGAAUUAUGAUCUAUAUGGAGAUUUCGUGUCUUUUGACACCACAUUCUCUAUGAAUAUAUAUGGCUUGCCAUUUGCACCAAUUAUAGGUGUCGACAAUCACAGGUCGACCGUCCUGUUUGGAGUAGGCCUUUUGAAGGAUGAGAAAAUAGGGUCAUUCAAGUGGCUCCUAAGCACGUUUGUCGAGGCAAUGGGAGGUAAAGAGCCGAAAUACAUAAUAACAGACCAGGACCAGGCGAUGAAGACUGCAAUAAAGGAAGCUCUUCCGAGGAUGAGGCACAGGUUCUGCUGGUGGCAUAUUAGGAAGAACCUGAAGGAAAAUAACGCAGCAGUGUUUGCGCAGCACCCAGGGAUGUCUGAUGAUAUAUUUCGAAUCGUCAAAAACUCACUAGAUCAAGACGAGUUUGAGCGUGCCUGGAAAGCAGCAAUUUCUCUGCACAAUGCGGAAGGCAACAAACACCUGAACACGCUAUGGGAACUCUGA
rnacentral:rRNA from 1 species